rnacentral:rRNA from 1 species
GAUGAACGCUAGCGGGAGGCCUAAUACAUGCAAGUCGAGCGGUAAGGUACUUCGGUACCCUAGAGCGGCGCACGGGUGAGUAACGCGUACGCAAUCUACCUUUCAGAGCGGAAUAGCCCCGGGAAACUGGGAUUAAUACCGCAUAGUAUCUUCGGGUGGCAUCACCUGAAGAUUAAAGUUCCGGCGCUGAGAGAUGAGCGUGCGUGCUAUUAGCUAGUUGGUGAGGUAACGGCUCACCAAGGCUACGAUAGCUAGGGGGCGUGAGAGCGUGGCCCCCCACACGGGUACUGAGACACGGACCCGACUCCUACGGGAGGCAGCAGUAAGGAAUAUUGGUCAAUGGACGAAAGUCUGAACCAGCCAUCCCGCGUGCAGGAUGAAUGCCCUAUGGGUUGUAAACUGCUUUUAUAUGAGAAGAAACGCUUGGAUUUAUCCGAGCCUGACGGUAUCUUAUGAAUAAGCACCGGCUAACUCCGUGCCAGCAGCCGCGGU